AAACAGCACUCUGGAGAGACCUGGCGCCAUGGUGGUUAACGUGCGCAGCCCAGGCGCCGAAGGUGCAAACCCGCGUCCCAGCGGGGCAACUCUCAGGCAAAAGGACAGAGGGGCGGAA
rnacentral:ncRNA from 1 species